rnacentral:lncRNA from 11 species
GUUUCCUAGUGUUGAAGGAUGUUCUGACUAUUGAUCCCCCAACUAUGUAUGGUGCUGACAUUGACGAUGAAUAAAGUUUGGAUUUUUUUCUCUAAACAAUGCAACAGGUUAUCUACAGGAUCGCCUUCUCCCGUACAAUCUGCCCCGCACAGUUAGGUCCUCAGGGGUGCAUCUACUCUAACCAGCCAGAUCUUGACUGGCGACCAUCACCCAGAGGACCUUCUCAACCUGCCAGAAGAGCUCCAAUAGCUGUUGGAAUUUUAAAAUCAUCUAAAGAUCUCUCUCUUUCAGCAGGCCUACCCUGCUAGUUUUAAGCAUGAAUUUUAAACUCGUGUCUUUUAUUUAAUCUCUGUUCUGUGUAUUUUAAUAUGUAUUUUAUAGAAAUAUA